UUGUUAUCCAGUCUUGAACACCGCUGCGCCGGUAGUUCAGACUGCCGGGGGGUGUUGGUGUAUAUGUGAGCCCAUGUAUAGAGGCCCAUCUAGAGGCCUAUGUAUAGGAUCUAUAUAUCCCACCCUCCUAGGGUUUGGUGGAAUACAUUCAUCAUUCUCUCCUGCAAUAUGAAUUUAUCUUUGCUGGAACCCAUUGACCGGGAGAUGCUUAUGAUGUGACUGGAAACACUUUCUUUUGCAGGAGUUGAGGGGAUCGGAGAUGUUGAGUUGCACUUGAAGACUAUUAUUAAAUCUUGAUUAAUUAGUUUAAGAUUUGUAUGCUGUAGCAAAUUGAUUGAUCACUGUGCCAUAGUGAAAAGAUUACCAAGGUCCCUUCAUGAAUCCACCUGUCUUUUAUAGAUCAUUCACCUGUUUACUCUUGCUUGUCAAGCUUUUCUUAAGGAGCAUUCAGCAUAUCUGUCACCCUGAUUAUUUUUUGAGGUUUCAAAAGCACAGCAAUGACGUUUAUUUAAAAAAAAAAAGUUAAAUAGGUUCCUUAGAGAAUCUACUGAAAUCUGUGCAUGGAGUUGGAGAUGAAAGAAUUAAACAGGUGAGAUGUAAAUGAUAACUCCUCUCCUUUGUCUGCAUGCAUGCAUCCACAAGUGUCUUUGCACAGAACUCUAGCAAAAAUGCUGAUAUGGUUUCACUUCAUUUGGUUAUAUGGUUUCCUUUUCUUUCAGAAAUUGAUUUUUUCAACCACCUGAAAAGCUAAAUAUAAUGUGUAUCGUGCACUUAAAUUUAUCUGGCAUCUUCUUGAUUAUUGAUAUCAUUGUUUUCUUGUCAAAUAGAAUGUAUUUUAGUUUACGAAAUGAUAUCAUUGAACUGUCUUUAUGUGGCUCUUCUCAGGUUCUGAUAUCUCAAGCGGAACAGGCAAUCCUUUGCAAAAGCCUGGCCACACUGCAUUCUAAUCUUCCUUCUUAUAUGGUUCCUUUCAAGAUAGCUGAUCUUAUAUUUCAGAAGCCGCAGCCCGCAGGAUGAUGGGAGUAUGGGACCAAAUUCAUAAAGCUCAGCCUUGGAAGCAUACGCAGAAGGUUCGUCAGCAGACCCAAUCAUCAGAAGAGCAACCCAUCUUUAGAACAAGCUUAAAUCAUGAUGAUGCUGAUGUUUUCAGAAGUGAUUAUAAAGGAAUUUUGCCAAGGUUAAGGUUCGGAUUAAAAUAUCAGAAGCCCAGCUGGUUCCUUCCUGGUUCCAAAAUAUUCAAUGCCUUGACUUCAUGUGGACUGCGCGCACAGCCAUAUCCAAAUCGCAAAAAUCAAAUUGUUGGCAUAGGUGUGUCGAAGUGCAUACCAAGGUGCCGCUGCUUAGGGAAGCAGCUUAGGUGUUCAUACCACGAAGCUAACUUUGGUCAACUCUGUAGAUAAAAUGCACAACAUUGCUCAUGUAUCUGCCUUUUUUUAUGAGAGAGGAGAGGAGAGGAGAGGAAGAGGGGGAGAGGCUCGCGCAAUUCAUGUGACCUUUCUAUCUAUACUUCCCAAGGGUUGCAGUGGAGGUGGAGCCGUGCCUCGUGAAAAUCUGCUGAUUUGGUGGUGAAUCCUUAUGCGCAGCUGUGGUUUGAAAAAUC